rnacentral:rRNA from 1 species
CCCUACGGGACGCAGCAGUGGGGAAUCUUCCGCAAUGGGCGAAAGCCUGACGGAGCAAUGCCGCGUGAGUGAAGAAGGCCUUCGGGUUGUAAAACUCUUUCCUUAUCCAAGAGAGGUGGGUAUGUGAAUAAUGUACUCAUAUGACGGUAGAUAAGGAGGAAGCCCCGGCUCACUACGUGCCAGCAGCCGCGGUAAUACGUAGGAUCCUAGCCUUAUCCUGCUUUAUUGGGUU